rnacentral:rRNA from 1 species
GUGUCAGCCGCCGCGGUAAGACGUAGGGGGCGAGCGUUGUCCGGAUUCAUUGGGCGUAAAGAGCGCGUAGGCGGCCCGGAAAGUGGGGUGUGAAAACCCGAGGCUCAACCUCGGGCGUGCACUCCAAACUCCCGGGCUCGAGGCAGGUAGGGGAGAUCGGAAUUCCUGGUGUAGCGGUGAAAUGCGCAGAUAUCAGGAGGAACACCGGUGGCGAAGGCGGAUCUCUGGGCCUGAUCUGACGCUGAGGCGCGAAAGCUAGGGGAGCGAACAGGAUUAGAUACCCUGGUAGUCCUAGCCGUAAACGAUGGGUGCUAGGUGUGGGCGGAUAUCAACCCCGUCCGUGCCGAAGCUAACGCAUUAAGCACCCCGCCUGGGGAGUACGGCCGCAAGGCUAAA